rnacentral:rRNA from 1 species
UUCGCCCUUAGAGUUUGAUCCUGGCUCAGGACGAACGCUGGCGGCACGCUUAACACAUGCAAGUCGAACGAGAGAAGAGAAGCUUGCUUUUCUGAUCUAGUGGCGGACGGGUGAGUAACACGUGAGCAAUCUGCCUUUCAGAGGGGGAUACCGAUUGGAAACGAUCGUUAAUACCGCAUAACAUAAUUGAACCGCAUGAUUUGAUUAUCAAAGAUUUAUCGCUGAAAGAUGAGCUCGCGUCUGAUUAGCUAGUUGGUAAGGUAACGGCUUACCAAGGCGACGAUCAGUAGCCGGACUGAGAGGUUGAUCGGCCACAUUGGGACUGAGACACGGCCCAGACUCCUACGGGAGGCAGCAGUGGGGAAUAUUGCACAAUGGAGGAAACUCUGAUGCAGCGAUGCCGCGUGAGGGAAGAAGGUUUUAGGAUUGUAAACCUCUGUCUUUGGGGACGAAAAAUGACGGUACCCAAGGAGGAAGCUCCGGCUAACUACGUGCCAGCAGCCGCGGUAAUACGUAGGGAGCGAGCGUUGUCCGGAAUUACUGGGUGUAAAGGGAGCGUAGGCGGGAUCGCAAGUCAGAUGUGAAAACUAUGGGCUUAACCCAUAAACUGCAUUUGAAACUGUGGUUCUUGAGUGAAGUAGAGGUAAGCGGAAUUCCUAGUGUAGCGGUGAAAUGCGUAGAUAUUAGGAGGAACAUCAGUGGCGAAGGCGGCUUACUGGGCUUUAACUGACGCUGAGGCUCGAAAGCGUGGGGAGCAAACAGGAUUAGAUACCCUGGUAGUCCACGCCGUAAACGAUGAUUACUAGGUGUGGGGGGACUGACCCCUUCCGUGCCGCAGCAAACGCAAUAAGUAAUCCACCUGGGGAGUACGACCGCAAGGUUGAAACUCAAAGGAAUUGACGGGGGCCCGCACAAGCAGUGGAGUAUGUGGAUUAAUUCGAAGCAACGCGAAGAACCUUACCAGGUCUUGACAUCGUAUGCAUAGCUCAGAGAUGAGUGAAAUCUCUUCGGAGACAUAUAGACAGGUGGUGCAUGGUUGUCGUCAGCUCGUGUCGUGAGAUGUUGGGUUAAGUCCCGCAACGAGCGCAACCCUUACUGUUAGUUGCUACGCAAGAGCACUCUAGCAGGACUGCCGUUGACAAAACGGAGGAAGGUGGGGAUGACGUCAAAUCAUCAUGCCCCUUAUGACCUGGGCCUCACACGUACUACAAUGGCUGUCAACAGAGGGAUGCAAAGCCGCGAGGUGGAGCGAACCCCUAAAAGCAGUCUUAGUUCGGAUUGUAGGCUGCAACCCGCCUACAUGAAGUCGGAAUUGCUAGUAAUCGCAGAUCAGCAUGCUGCGGUGAAUACGUUCCCGGGCCUUGCACACACCGCCCGUCA